UACAGAGGUCCCAAGCGUUGUUCGGAUUCACUGGGCGUAAAGGGUGCGUAGGUGGCCAGGUAAGUUUGGUGUGAAAGCUCGGAGCUUAACUCCGAAAUGGCAUUGAAUACUAUCUGGCUGGAGGGUCGGAGGGGAGACUGGAAUUCUCGGUGUAGCAGUGAAAUGCGUAGAUAUCGAGAGGAACACCAGUGGCGAAGGCGAGUCUCUGGACGACACCUGACACUGAGGCACGAAAAGCUAGGGGAGCAAACAGG
rnacentral:rRNA from 1 species